rnacentral:rRNA from 1 species
AUUGAACGCUGGCGGCAUGCUUUACACAUGCAAGUCGAACGGCAGCACGGACUUCGGUCUGGUGGCGAGUGGCGAACGGGUGAGUAAUACAUCGGAACGUACCCAGUAAUGGGGGAUAACUAGUCGAAAGAUUAGCUAAUACCGCAUACGCCCUACGGGGGAAAGAGGGGGAUCGCAAGACCUCUUGUUAUUGGAGCGGCCGAUGGCUGAUUAGCUAGUUGGUGGGGUAAAGGCCUACCAAGGCGACGAUCAGUAGCGGGUCUUAGAGGACGAUCCGCCACACUGGAACUGAGACACGGUCCAGGCUCCUACGGGAGGCAGCAGUGGGGAAUCUUGGACAAUGGGCGAAAGCCUGAUUCAGCAAUGCCGCGUGCGUGAAGAAGGCCUUCGGGUUGUAAAGCGCUUUUGUCUGGGAGCAAAUCCUUGUGGCUAAUACCCACCGGGGAUGAGAGUACCAGAAGAAUAAGGACCGGCUAACUACGUGCCAGCCGCCGCGGUAAAAC